rnacentral:tRNA from 1 species
GGAAAGAGGGGGAUUC